rnacentral:rRNA from 1 species
GAUGCAACGCGAAGAACCUUACCAAGGCUUGACAUGAACCGGAAAGGCGUAGAAAUACGUCCCCCACUUGUGGUCGGUUUACAGGUGGUGCAUGGUUGUCGUCAGCUCGUGUCGUGAGAUGUUGGGUUAAGUCCCGCAACGAGCGCAACCCUCGUUCUAUGUUGCCAGCACGUGAUGGUGGGGACUCAUAGGAGACUGCCGGGGUCAACUCGGAGGAAGGUGGGGAUGACGUCAAAUCAUCAUGCCCCUUAUGUCUUGGGCUUCACGCAUGCUACAAUGGCCGGUACAAAGGGUUGCGAUACUGUGAGGUGGAGCUAAUCCCAAAAAGCCGGUCUCAGUUCGGAUUGGGGUCUGCAACUCGACCCCAUGAAGUCGGAGUCGCUAGUAAUCGCAGAUCAGCAACGCUGCGGUGAAUACGUUCCCGGGCCUUGUACACACCGCCCGUCAAGUCACGAAAGUUGGUAACACCCGAAGCCGGUGGCCUAACCCC